rnacentral:lncRNA from 1 species
GCCUGGCCGCAGCACCUGCCAGAUCGCAUGGCUGCCUCUUCCCACAAGGUGGUAAAUGUAUGAAUGAGUCAAAUCCUACAGCUUCCAGAAUGACCUUGCGGGAAGUGUGGUGCAAGACAAGGAACAUUGUGCUCAUUCCAGGAGAGGGAAGCACCACUGAGUGGCCUCGAAGACUCCCUCUCUCAGAGAUCAUGGUGCAUGGAGUGCCGCAGCGAGGGCUCCCGCCUACCUGUUCAGCUGAGCUUUCACCACUCCCAGCCCUUCACAUCAGACCUGGAGGAGGGAAGAGAAAGGCACUGAACUGACCAAGUCCCUUCUGUAUGCUGGACACGAGACACCUCUCUGCGGUGCCAAGAGGAAGGGUCCACCUUCCCAUGUCACAGGUCCCCAAGGUCACGGGGCUUCUUUGUCCUGUAGAUGAAGAACCAGAUAUUCCAUUCAUGUUAAAGUAUAACAGCUUUGAGAUAACAGAUUCAAGUGUGACUCCAAGUAGGCUGUGUAGUUGGAACAGCAAGCAAAUCGCUGAUCGUGAAAUUUCAGGCAUUGGAUGGAGAAGAUGUGCCUCCAACAGCCUGGAUAAGACUGGCAAUACCGCCCUCCUGGCUGGGAACUGGGCUUCCCCUGCCAGACCCUGUCGAGUGGACUGUCAUGGUGGGUGCCCUUGCUUUCCUUUCCUGCUACGCUGCAGGUUCUGUGAGGCAGAGACGCGGUUUGUGUUGCUGGCCAUGAAUUUUAUGUUUCUGGCACAUUACGGGUGCUCCAGAAAUAUGUGCUGCCCGAAUAAAUCCCAUUUCAGAGCUGAGGGACCACUAAUCCCGAGACGUUAA